rnacentral:rRNA from 1 species
GGCUCCUUGAAAAAAAUUUUAUAGGGAGUCUUACCUGCCCAGUGAAAUAAUCUUUAACGGCCGCGGUACUCUGACCGUGCAAAGGUAGCAUAAUCAUUUGCCUUAUAAUUGAAGGCUAGUAUGAAAGGUUUGAUGAGGGCUGAGCUGGCUCCUGUUAAUUAAAAUGAAAUUGUCUUUCAGGUGCAAAGACCUAAAUUGAAUUAAAAGACAAGAAGACCCUAUUGAGCUUUAAAAAUUUUAUGAUAUAUAAUGCUACGGUUUAGCUGGAUGCUAGCUCAUUAAUUUUUUUAGUUGGGGCGACUCCGGAACA